AAGAAAGGCAGGCACAAUCGAGUGUAUACAAUGUUUUAACUCUUCGGCUUAUUUGAAUUUUUUGCGAUUAAUAUUUACUAUAUGAUAAAAUAAGAAUAGUACUUUAUGCGUGACUAAUUUCUUUAAGUUUUUUAUAAAUUUUUUAAAUAAGACGAAUGGUCAAACUUUGGACACAAAAAUCAAAAAAUAAGGUUAUU
rnacentral:pre_miRNA from 1 species